GUGCUUGCUUUGGCAGCACAUAUACUAAAAUUGGAACGAUACAGAGAAGAUUAGCAUGGCCCCUACGCAAGGAUGACCCAACAAGACAGAAUCUCCGUGUUU